AUGGCCACGGAGGAGUCGCCGCAGCUGUUCCUGUGCCCGAUCUCCAUGGAGCUGAUGGAGGACCCCGUCACGGUGUCCACCGGCGUCACCUACGACCGCCGGAGCAUCGAGCGGUGGUUCUUCAAGUACGGCAAGACCACGUGCCCGGCCACCAUGCAGCGCGUCGCCUCGUUCGACCUCACGCCCAACCACACCCUCAAGCGCGUCAUCGCCUCCUGGCAGGACCGCGCCUCCACCUCCUCCUCCUCUAGCCCCGCGGACGCGCUCAAGCCGAUGCCGCGGGAGCGGCUGCCGUCAGUGCUCGCCGGCAUUGAGGGCACGCCGUUCAAGGUCACGGCGCUCAAGGGCCUCAGGCUCUGCAUGGCCGCGGACCAGGCGGCGCGGGAGGAUUUCGUGGCCUGUGACGGCAUCCAGGUGCUCGGCCGCGUCAUGGCGCAGGCGCUGGCGGAGAGCGGCGCCGGCGGGGACUUCUCGGCCUUCCGGACGUGCGAGGAGGCCGCCGCCGUCCUCGCCACGCUCCCGCUGUCAGACGAGGAGUCGGUGGACCUGGUGCUGAGGCCCGAGUGCAUGAGGCCCAUGGUCGCGCUCGUCCAGCGCGGCAGCGCCGAGGCGAGGCUGCACGCCAUGUCCAUCCUCGCCAAGGUCUCCGAGGCCAGCGGCGCCCGCAACUGGACCGAGGACGUCGACGUCGACGACAUGGUCAAGUCCCUACUCGACCUGCUCUCCGACGGGGCCUCCUCCAAGCUCAGCUCCCGCGCGCUCGACGUGCUCAUCGACGUCACGGCGCGCUCGCGCUCGAGGGGCGGCGCACGGCGCGGCAAGGGCGUGGUGGAGGUGGGGGCCGUGCGGGUGCUCGUGGAGCUCCUCCCGGAGGCCGACCGGCACGUCGCCGAGCGGGCGCUCCUGCUCCUGAAGCGGCUGUGCAAGUGCCCCGAGGGCCGGCUCGCGUUCGCGGAGCACGGGCUCGCCGUGGCGGCCGUGGUGCGGACGACGCUGCGGGUGUCCGGCCUGGCCACGAGGCUGGCGGUCAACGUGCUGUGGCUGGUGUCGUGCGCGGCGCGGCCCACGGAGAGGGUGCUGGACGACAUGGUGGCGAGCGGCGGCGUGGCGAAGCUGCUGGCGCUGCUGCAGGCGGACAGCUCGCCGUCGACCAAGGAGAAGGUGGCGAGGAUGCUCAGGGUGCACGGCGCGUUCUGGAGGCAGUACCCUUGCAUCCCCGCCGACCUCAAGGACUACCUCAAAUUUCUCAAGUGA
rnacentral:rRNA from 1 species